rnacentral:rRNA from 1 species
AGUGAACGCUGGCGGUAGGCCUAACACAUGCAAGUCGAACGGCAGCACAGUAAGAGCUUGCUCUUACGGGUGGCGAGUGGCGGACGGGUGAGGAAUACAUCGGAAUCUACUUUUUCGUGGGGGUUAACGUAGGGAAACUUACGCUAAUAUCGCAUACGACCUAAGGGUGAAAGCAUGGGAUCUUCGGACCUUGCGCGAUUGAAUGCGCCGAUGUCGGAUUAGCUAGUUGGCGGGGUAAAGGCCCACCAAGGCGACGAUCCGUAGCUGGUCUGAGAGGAUGAUCAGCCACACUGGAACUGAGACACGGUCCAGACUCCUACGGGAGGCAGCAGUGGGGAAUAUUGGACAAUAGGCGCAAGCCUGAUCCAGCCAUACCGCGUGGGUGAAGAAGGCCUUCGGGUUGUAAAGCCCUUUUGUUGGGAAAGAAAAGCAGCAGGUUAAUACCCCGCUGUUCUGACGGUACCCAAAGAAUAAGCACCGGCUAACUUCGUG